GUGGGGAAUUUUGGACAAUGGGCGCAAGCCUGAUCCAGCAAUGCCGCGUGCAGGAAGAAGGCCUUCGGGUUGUAAACUGCUUUUGUACGGAACGAAACGGUCCUGGUUAAUACCUGGGGCUAUUGACGGUACCGUAAGAAUAAGCACCGGCUAACUACGUGCCAGCAGCCGCGGUAAUACGUAGGGUGCGAGCGUUAAUCGGAAUUACUGGGCGUAAAGCGUGCGCAGGCGGUGCUGUAAGACAGGCGUGAAAUCCCCGGGCUCAACCUGGGAAUUGCGCUUGUGACUGCAGUGCUGGAGUACGGCAGAGGGGGAUGGAAUUCCGCGUGUAGCAGUGAAAUGCGUAGAUAUGCGGAGGAACACCGAUGGCGAAGGCAGUCCCCUGGGCCUGUACUGACGCUCAUGCACGAAAGCGUGGGGAGCAAACAGGAUUAGAAACCCGGGUAGUCC
rnacentral:rRNA from 1 species